rnacentral:tmRNA from 1 species
GGGGAUGAUCGGUUUCGACAUUGCCUGCGUGAGUGUGAGAAGCGGGCCGAGGAUGCAGGGUUAUCUCGUAAACGAUCUCUGCAACAUAUAAGUGCCAAUUCAAAGCGCACUGACUCUGCUUCUGCUUACGCCCUCGCGGCCUAAGUAAAGCACUUAUAGAGUCCGUCAGACCGGGGACGCCCUCUACCCGGAUCCUGACGUCAUUAUGAGGGAUUGCUUCUACGUUGCGCCUCGGGGCGUAGAGGGACUCACACCGAGACUGGGCUCGUCGGAUUAGGUGCCAGUGACACAUUCCGGAGCCGAGUAGAACGCUUUCACUGGCUACGCCCGUAGAAGGCGCAUGACCACAGCAGUGGACGGGGGUUCGAUUCCCCCCAUCUCCACCA